rnacentral:lncRNA from 1 species
AUAAUUCACCAAAUCAGGGGGAAAAACAACAACAAAAAAAGGAAGCCAGAACACCUUGGAGAAACUUCAAAAGGACUUCUCAAAUAGAAAACUUCUGGUUACAUGGAACAUUGUCCCAUAAAAAUUUGGUGACUUUCAAGGACCAAUAUAUUCGGCAAGUCCAGGAGGAUAAAUUGACAGCAAGGCCAGAUACAGAACAUUUGGUCAAGUGAGCAAACACAGACUACCAACAACAACAAAAAAUCAACAACUAAAAGUGGUGACAUCACAUUUAAGUGAAGCCCUGUCAGAGACUUCUUCCUCACUGCCCACAUCAUUGAGUUAAACAUAAGGUAUGUAAAUACAAACAGUGCUGUCUCAUGCUGUAUAUGUUAUUCAAUCACAAGUCAGG